CAUGCAAGUCGAACGGCAGCACGGGUGCUUGCACCUGGUGGCGAGUGGCGAACGGGUGAGUAAUACAUCGGAACAUGUCCUGUAGUGGGGGAUAGCCCGGCGAAAGCCGGAUUAAUACCGCAUACGAUCCACGGAUGAAAGCGGGGGACCUUCGGGCCUCGCGCUAUAGGGUUGGCCGAUGGCUGAUUAGCUAGUUGGUGGGGUAAAGGCCUACCAAGGCGACGAUCAGUAGCUGGUCUGAGAGGACGACCAGCCACACUGGGACUGAGACACGGCCCAGACUCCUACGGGAGGCAGCAGUGGGGAAUUUUGGACAAUGGGCGAAAGCCUGAUCCAGCAAUGCCGCGUGUGUGAAGAAGGCCUUCGGGUUGUAAAGCACUUUUGUCCGGAAAGAAAUCCUUGGCUCUAAUACAGUCGGGGGNAUGACGGUACCGGAAGAAUAAGCACCGGCUAACUACGUGCCAGCAGCCGCGGUAAUACGUAGGGUGCAAGCGUUAAUCGGAAUUACUGGGCGUAAAGCGUGCGCAGGCGGUUUGCUAAGACCGAUGUGAAAUCCCCGGGCUCAACCUGGGAACUGCAUUGGUGACUGGCAGGCUAGAGUAUGGCAGAGGGGGGUAGAAUUCCACGUGUAGCAGUGAAAUGCGUAGAGAUGUGGAGGAAUACCGAUGGCGAAGGCAGCCCCCUGGGCCAAUACUGACGCUCAUGCACGAAAGCGUGGGGAGCAAACAGGAUUA
rnacentral:rRNA from 1 species